GAACUGAAGAGUUUGAUCAUGGCUCAGAUUGAACGCUGGCGGCAGGCCUAACACAUGCAAGUCGAGCGGAUGAAGGGAGCUUGCUCCCGGAUUCAGCGGCGGACGGGUGAGUAAUGCCUAGGAAUCUGCCUGGUAGUGGGGGACAACGUUCCGAAAGGAGCGCUAAUACCGCAUACGUCCUACGGGAGAAAGUGGGGGAUCUUCGGACCUCACGCUAUCAGAUGAGCCUAGGUCGGAUUAGCUAGUAGGUGGGGUAAUGGCUCACCUAGGCGACGAUCCGUAACUGGUCUGAGAGGAUGAUCAGUCACACUGGAACUGAGACACGGUCCAGACUCCUACGGG
rnacentral:rRNA from 1 species